rnacentral:rRNA from 1 species
AUUGAACGCUGGCGGCAGGCCUAACACAUGCAAGUCGAACGAGUGGCGGACGGGUGAGUAAUGUCUGGGAAACUGCCUGAUGGAGGGGGAUAACUACUUGAAACGGUAGCUAAUACCGCAUACCAUCCGAUUUGCCCAGCUGGGAUUAGCUUGUUGGUGGGGUAACGGCUCACCAGGGCGACGAUCCCUAGCUGGUCUGAGAGGAUGACCAGCCAAACUGGAACUGGGCAACGGGCCAGACUCCUACGGGAGGCAGAAGUGGGGAAUAUUGGAAAAUGGGCGCAAGCCUGAUGCAGCAAUGCGGGGUGUAUGAAGAAGGCCUGCGGGUUGUAAAGUACUUUCAGCGGGGAGGCGGUACCCGAAGAAGAAGCACCGGCUAACUCCGUGCCAGCAGCCGCGGUAAUAC